CGCGUAGGCGGGCACGCAAGUCUGCGGUGAAAUCCUCCAGCUUAACUGGAGAAGUGCCGUGGAUACUGCGUGCCUCGAGGAGGGUAGGGGCAUCUGGAACGUUGGGUGGAGCGGUGAAAUGCGUUGAUAUCCAACGGAACUCCGGUGGCGAAGGCGAGGUGCUGGACCCUUUCUGACGCUGAGGCGCGAAAGCCAGGGGAGCAACG
rnacentral:rRNA from 1 species